GGAGCUUGCUCCACCGGAAAAAGAAGAGUGGCGAACGGGUGAGUAACACGUGGGUAACCUGCCCAUCAGAAGGGGAUAACACUUGGAAACAGGUGCUAAUACCGUAUAACAAUCGAAACCGCAUGGUUUUGAUUUGAAAGGCGCUUUCGGGUGUCGCUGAUGGAUGGACCCGCGGUGCAUUAGCUAGUUGGUGAGGUAACGGCUCACCAAGGCCACGAUGCAUAGCCGACCUGAGAGGGUGAUCGGCCACAUUGGGACUGAGACACGGCCCAAACUCCUACGGGAGGCAGCAGUAGGGAAUCUUCGGCAAUGGACGAAAGUCUGACCGAGCAACGCCGCGUGAGUGAAGAAGGUUUUCGGAUCGUAAAACUCUGUUGUUAGAGAAGAACAAGGAUGAGAGUAACUGUUCAUCCCUUGACGGUAUCUAACCAGAAAGCCACGGCUAACUACGUGCCAGCAGCCGCGGUAAUACGUAGGUGGCAAGCGUUGUCCGGAUUUAUUGGGCGUAAAGCGAGCGCAGGCGGUUUCUUAAGUCUGAUGUGAAAGCCCCCGGCUCAACCGGGGAGGGUCAUUGGAAACUGGGAGACUUGAGUGCAGAAGAGGAGAGUGGAAUUCCAUGUGUAGCGGUGAAAUGCGUAGAUAUAUGGAGGAACACCAGUGGCGAAGGCGGCUCUCUGGUCUGUAACUGACGCUGAGGCUCGAAAGCGUGGGGAGCAAACAGGAUUAGAUACCCUGGUAGUCCACGCCGUAAACGAUGAGUGCUAAGUGUUGGAGGGUUUCCGCCCUUCAGUGCUGCAGCUAACGCAUUAAGCACUCCGCCUGGGGAGUACGACCGCAAGGUUGAAACUCAAAGGAAUUGACGGGGGGCCCGCACAAGCGGUGGAGCAUGUGGUUUAAUUCGAAGCAACGCGAAGAACCUUACCAGGUCUUGACAUCCUUUGACCACUCUAGAGAUAGAGCUUCCCCCUUCGGGGGCAAAGUGACAGGUGGUGCAUGGUUGUCGUCAGCUCGUGUCGUGAGAUGUUGGGUUAAGUCCCGCAACGAGCGCAACCCUUAUUGUUAGUUGCCAUCAUUUAGUUGGGCACUCUAGCAAGACUGCCGGUGACAAACCGGAGGAAGGUGGGGAUGACGUCAAAUCAUCAUGCCCCUUAUGACCUGGGCUACACACGUGCUACAAUGGGAAGUACAACGAGUCGCGAAGUCGCGAGGCUAAGCUAAUCUCUUAAAGCUUCUCUCAGUUCGGAUUGUAGGCUGCAACUCGCCUACAUGAAGCCGGAAUCGCUAGUAAUCGCGGAUCAGCACGCCGCGGUGAAUACGUUCCCGGGCCUUGUACACACCGCCCGUCACACCACGAGAGUUUGUAACACCCGAAGUCGGUGA
rnacentral:rRNA from 1 species